rnacentral:rRNA from 1 species
ACGGGUGAGUAAUAUAUCGGAACGUGCCCAGUUGUGGGGGAUAGCCCGGCGAAAGCCGGAUUAAUACCGCAUACGACCUGAGGGUGAAAGCGGGGGAUCGCAAGACCUCGCGCAAUUGGAGCGGCCGAUAUCAGAUUAGCUAGUUGGUGGGGUAAAGGCCUACCAAGGCGACGAUCUGUAGCUGGUCUGAGAGGACGACCAGCCACACUGGGACUGAGACACGGCCCAGACUCCUACGGGAGGCAGCAGUGGGGAAUUUUGGACAAUGGGCGCAAGCCUGAUCCAGCCAUGCCGCGUGCGGGAAGAAGGCCUUCGGGUUGUAAACCGCUUUUGUCAGGGAAGAAACGGUCUGAUCUAAUAAAUUGGACUAAUGACGGUACCUGAAGAAUAAGCACCGGCUAACUACGUGCCAGCAGCCGCGGUAAUACGUAGGGUGCAAGCGUUAAUCGGAAUUACUGGGCGUAAAGCGUGCGCAGGCGGCUAUGCAAGACAGAUGUGAAAUCCCCGGGCUCAACCUGGGAACUGCAUUUGUGACUGCAUGGCUAGAGUACGGUAGAGGGGGAUGGAAUUCCGCGUGUAGCAG